rfam:Oidiodendron maius Zn unplaced genomic scaffold scaffold_2, whole genome shotgun sequence.
GCUCCAAUGGCGCAAUGGUAGCGCGCGAGACUUCUACUUUGCUCCAUUAGACGAGUUAUCUCGAGGCUGUGGGUUCGAGUCCCACUUGGAGUG